rnacentral:rRNA from 1 species
AACGCUGGCGGCAGGCUUAACACAUGCAAGUCGAGCGGGCGUAGCAAUACGUCAGCGGCAGACGGGUGAGUAACGCGUGGGAACGUACCUUUUGGUUCGGAACAACACAGGGAAACUUGUGCUAAUACCGGAUAAGCCCUUACGGGGAAAGAUUUAUCGCCGAAAGAUCGGCCCGCGUCUGAUUAGCUAGUUGGUGAGGUAAAGGCUUACCAAGGCGACGAUCCGUAGCUGGUCUGAGAGGACGAUCAGCCACACUGGAACUGAGACACGGUCCAGACUCCUACGGGAGGCAGCAGUGGGGAAUUUUGGACAAUGGGCGCAAGCCUGAUCCAGCCAUGCCGCGUGAGUGAAGAAGGCCUUCGGGUUGUAAAGCUCUUUCGGUGAAGACGAAACGGUUCGUGCUAAUAACGCGGACUAAUGACGGUACUCACAGAAGAAGCACCGGCUAACUACGUGCCAGCAGCCGCGGUAAUACGUAGGGUGCAGGCGUUAAUCGGAAUUACUGGGCGUAAAGCGUGCGCAGGCGGUUUGCUAAGACAGGUGUGAAAUCCCCGGGCUUAACCUGGGGAUUGCGCUUGUAACUGGCAAGCUAGAGUGUGGCAGAGGGGAGUGGAAUUCCACGUGUAGCAGUGAAAUGCGUAGAUAUGUGGAGGAACACCGAUGGCGAAGGCAGCCCCCUGGGUUAACACUGACGCUCAUGCACGAAAGCGUGGGAGCAAACAGGAUUAGAUACCCUGGUAGUCCACGCCCUAAACUAUGUCAACUAGUUGUCGGGGAAGAAAUUCCUUGGUAACGAAGCUAACGCGUGAAGUUGACCGCCUGGGGAGUACGGCCGCAAGGUUAAAACUCAAAGGAAUUGACGGGGACCCGCACAAGCGGUGGAUUAUGUGGAUUAAUUCGAUGCAACGCGAAAAACCUUACCUACCCUUGACAUGCUAGGAAGCCCGCAGAGAUGUGGGUGUGCCCGAAAGGGAACCUAGACACAGGUGCUGCAUGGCUGUCGUCAGCUCGUGUCGUGAGAUGUUGGGUUAAGUCCCGCAACGAGCGCAACCCUUGCCAUUAGUUGCUACAUUCAGUUGGGCACUCUAAUGGGACCGCCGGUGACAAACCGGAGGAAGGUGGGGAUGACGUCAAGUCCUCAUGGCCCUUAUGGGUAGGGCUUCACACGUAAUACAAUGGUCGGUACAGAGGGCUGCCAACCCGCAAGGGGGAGCUAAUCCCAGAAAGCCGAUCGUAGUCCGGAUUGCAGUCUGCAACUCGACUGCAUGAAGCCGGAAUCGCUAGUAAUCGCGGAUCAGCAUGUCGCGGUGAAUACGUUCCCGGGUCUUGUACACACCGCCCGUCACACCAUGGGAGUGGGUUCCACCAGAAGUAGUUAGCCUAACCGCAAGGAGGGCGAUUACCACGGUGAGAUUCAUGACUGGGGUGAAGUCGUAACAAGGUAAC